ensembl:lncRNA
ACUUUUAAAAGUUCAGCAGACAGGUGCUCUGCUUUGGAGUGUGACGAUGUUGUCGGUGAUGUGGAGAGUGAAGUUUCCGUUUCACCCACAGCGUGCUUUAGGGCAGCCAGAGUGAAAGUAGCAGUUCCUCCUUAAGGUCAGAGAUUGCAGCAUCUGAGGGCCUCUUCAAAAGAAGACGUAGUUGAUGAAGACGUUCUGGAGCAGGACCAGAAAGACCACGACCAAGCAGCCUUGAGAUCUUAGGCAGCGUCUCCCUCAGGUCCCUCUCUAUCUCCCCACACAUCCACCAACCACUGGAACACAUCUCCAAAGUUCUGCCGGACCAGCUCAGCUUCCGCUCAGAAGAAGUGCUGCCACCUGCCAGAUGAAGGAGCCUUUUGAGAGGCAGCUGGCAUCGUGAUUGGACUGUACUUUGGUCUGUUCCAAUCCAGCUUCAGCUCCAGAGACGGCAGGCGGGACGAGUCAACGGAGGCCGGGUGGACGAAGGCAUGCAGCUGAGUAUUCGAGUUUUUGACAUAGCAUACUAUGGCGUUUUUUUGCACCAAAAUUCAUGAUGAUUUUUUUUUUAAAAGAAAACCUUACCAUAGUGUUUUUGAC